AAAAAUGUGGAAUGAUUUGUUUGAUUGCAACCACACUUUAGUAAUAAAGUAAAAAGUGCUAAAAAUUAUCUC
rfam:Bacteroidetes bacterium RIFCSPLOWO2_12_FTLL_31_6 rifcsplowo2_12_scaffold_15248, whole genome shotgun sequence.